rnacentral:rRNA from 1 species
CAGUCGCCGCGGUAAUACGUAGGGUGCAAGCGUUAAUCGGAUUUACUGGGCGUAAAGCGUGCGUAGGCGGCUUCUUAAGUCGGAUGUGAAAUCCCUGAGCUUAACUUAGGAAUUGCAUUCGAUACUGGGAAGCUAGAGUAUGGGAGAGGAUGGUAGAAUUCCAGGUGUAGCGGUGAAAUGCGUAGAGAUCUGGAGGAAUACCGAUGGCGAAGGCAGCCAUCUGGCCUAAUACUGACGCUGAGGUACGAAAGCAUGGGGAGCAAACAGGAUUAGAUACCCGAGUAGUCCCUGUCUCUUAUAC